rnacentral:rRNA from 1 species
AACGAACGCUGGCGGCAUGCCUAACACAUGCAAGUCGAACGAGACCUUCGGGUCUAGUGGCGCACGGGUGCGUAACGCGUGGGAACCUGCCCUUAGGUUCGGAAUAACUCCCCGAAAGGGGUGCUAAUACCGGAUAAUGUCUUCGGACCAAAGAUUUAUCGCCUUUGGAUGGGCCCGCGUUGGAUUAGCUGGUUGGUAGGGUAAAAGCCUACCAAGGAGACGAUCCUUAGCUGGUCUGAGAGGAUGAUCAGCCACACUGGGACUGAGACACGGCCCAGAAUCCUACGGGAGGCAGCAGUGGGGAAUAUUGGACAAUGGGGGAAAGCCUGAUCCAGCAAUGCCGCGUGAGUGAUGAAGGCCGUAGGGUUGUAAAGCUCUUUUACCCGGGAUGAUAAUGACAGUACCGGGAGAAUAAGCUCCGGCUAACUACGUG